GCAGGGCAUGGUGGUGCAUGCCUGUAAUCCCAGCUACUUGGGAGGCUGAGGCAGGCGAAUUGCUUGAACCCGGGAGGUGGAGGUUGCAGUGAGCCGAGAUCGUACCACUGCACUCUAGCCUGGGCAACAGAGCAAGACUCUGUCUCAA
rnacentral:SRP_RNA from 1 species